rnacentral:lncRNA from 1 species
GUGAUGUAUUCAUGUCUGUCGCUGGGUGGUGGAUGUGUUUUGUGAGCAGGAGCUGCAGGAGGAGAAGAACAGCCUGCAGGAGGAGAAGAGCAGCCUGCAGGAGGAGAAGAGCAGCCUGCAGGAGGAGAAGAGCAGCCUGCAGGAGGAGAAGAGCAGCCUGCAGGAAGAGAAGAGCAGCCUGCAGGAGGAGAAGAGCAGCCUGCAGGAGGAGAAGAGCAGCCUGCAGGAGGAGAAGAGCAGCCUGCAGGAAGAGAAGAGCAGCCUGCAGGAAGAGAAGAGCAGCCUGCAGGAGGAGAAGAGCAGCCUGCAGGAGGAGAAGAGCAGCCUGCAGGAGGAGAAGAGCAGCCUGCAGGAAGAGAAGAGCCGCCUGCAGGAGGAGAAGAGCAGCCUGCAGGAAGAGAAGAGCAGCCUGCAGGAGGAGAAGAGCAGCCUGCAGGAGGAGAAGAGCAGCCUGCAGGAAGAGAAGAGCAGCCUGCAGGAAGAGAAGAGCAGCCUGCAGGAGGAGAAGAGCAGCCUGCAGGAAGAGAAGAGCCGCCUGCAGGAGGAGAAGAACAGCCUGCAGGAAGAGAAGAGCAGCCUGCAGGAGGAGAAGAGCAGCCUGCAGGAGGAGAAGAGCAGCCUGCAGGAAGAGAAGAGCCGCCUGCAGGAGGAGAAGAACAGCCUGCAGGAAGAGAAGAGCAGCCUGCAGGAGGAGAAGAGCAGCCUGCAGGAAGAGAAGAGCAGCCUGGAGGAGAAGAGCAGCCUGCAGGAGGAGAAGAGCAGCCUGCAGGAAGAGAAGAGCAGCCUGCAGGAGGAGAAGAGCAGCCUGCAGGAGGAGAAGAGCAGCCUGCAGGAGGAGAAGAGCAGCCUGCAGGAAGAGAAGAGCAGCCUGCAGGAGGAGAAGAGCAGCCUGCAGGAAGAGAAGAGCAGCCUGCAGGAGGAGAAGAGCGGCCUGCAGGAGGAGAAGAGCAGCCUGCAGGAAGAGAAGAGCAGCCUGCAGGAGGAGAAGAGCAGCCUGCAGGAGGAGAAGAGCAGCCUGCAGGAGGAGAAGAGCCGCCUGCAGGAAGAGAAGAGCAGCCUGCAGGAGGAGUGUAAACACCUGGAGGCCAGGCGGAGGCACGCUGACAGGAGUCUGUCAGCGCUGGAGGAGGAGCUCGCUGCACUGA